rnacentral:tRNA from 1 species
GCAGCGGUAGUUCAGUUGGUUAGAAUAUCGGCCUGUCACGCCGAGGGUCGCGGGUUCGAGUCCCGUCCGUUGCGCCA